ACUAUUAGUGGUGGAUCACUGGCUCGCAGGUCGAUGAAGAACGGAGCUAGAUACGUUAAUCGGUGUUAUAUGCUAUAGUUCAUAAGACAUCACUCGACUAUUCUAAUGCGCAAUGCAACUAGUUCUCUAAGACUAGUUCAUCUGAUUGAGAGUAUCAUAAAGUUAGUUUAACAAAAUGUUUUUGUUAAAUAAAACUGCAAUUGACUUCUAGAAGUGUAUUCUUUCUUUAUCUAUAGAUAGAAAUGACUUCAACUAUGCGAUACUAAGUUACGGAAUUUAGUGUAGUUUGGAUCGCUUAUGUGCUUAUUUUAAAAGCUAAUUUUAAAAAGCAAUAGUCUUUAAUUGCUAUAUGUUUGAUGUGUAGAUCUUUAAUCUAAAAGAGGAACUCAAACAUGUAUCUCAAUCAGGUGAGAAUACCCGCUGAACUUAAACAUAUCAAUAAGCGGAGGAAGAGAAAACAAAAGUGAUACCCCUAGUAAUGGCGAACGAACAGGGUAAGCCCAACGCAAAGGCUUAUGAUCUUUCUAGAUUGAUAAGCGAUGCUGCGUGUGAGUUGGUUGCUUGAGUUUAAAGCGUAUACUGGCUUGUAUUCAAACGAACGAUCUAAUAGUUGACCAUAGAGGGUUUAAAGUCCCGUAUGAAUAUUAUAAGUUCCAGUAUAUGCUAGUACGAAGGCACUAACUUGAGAGUAGGGUUGCUUGAGAGUGCAGCUUGAAGUAGGAGGUAUGCAUCUCCUAAGGCUAAAUCCACUGCGAGACCGAUAGCAAACAAGUAGCGUGAGCGAAAGUGAAAAGAACUUUGAAGAGAGAGUUCAAAGAGCGUGAAACCACUAGUAGGGAAGCGGAGAUUAUCCCGAAGUGGCGUUGCAUUUGUGUAGUGUAUAAGUGUUUGGCACUGCUUUUAGUUAGGCUAGUUUGGUUUACUAAAUGAAACUUUCUAGAAGUCUAGUAGUCAGCUUGUAUGCUACAAAGCACAAAUGUUGCCAGUAUCAUGUCUUCUUCUAAAACUGCAUAGUGCUAUUGAUCGCUUAAACUCACUCAUUUGGGGGAGUUUGGUUAAGAUCGGUAGUUUAGGUUAUUUAUUGACCCUUAUUUGUAGUAAGAUCCUCGGAUCUUACUACAAAUAAGGGAAAAACCCUAGUUAGUUAAAAGGAGGAAAAGGCCAGGAUAUGAGUAGAUCGAUAAAAUCUCUGCCCCGUCUUGAAACACGGACCAGGACCUAACGUGUAUGCAAGUCUCUUAGUAUUUUAAUAAACUAAGUGGCGUAACGAAAGCAAUAGAUACUAUUCUAUACAAGUUUAGUAUGGUUACGAUGUUAUAUUCUUUGUGAGUAUGAUAGCAGUAACAAUGCGAUUCGUACGAGUCGUAUUAGAGCAUAUACGGUAGUACCCGAAAGAUGGUGAUCUAUGCUUGAGCAAGGUGAAGCCAAAGGAAACUUUGGUGGAGGCCUGCAGCCAGUUUUGACGUGCAAAUCGAUUGUCAGACUUGAGUAUAGCGGCGAAAGACUAAUCGAACCAUCUAGUAGCUGGUUUCCUCCGAAAUUCCGCAGGAUAGCAAGCGUAUACUCGAAAAACGUAAUCAUUUAACCUGUUACAGUCUCAAUAGAAGGUAAUGGGGCGUUAAUUGACCUCGUCCUUUUCUUAAACUCGGUCAAUGGGUUUUCGAUGUUUACACACUAAUCGUAUGUAAACUAAUCAAACGUAAGAUUUACGCUAGUGGGCCAUUUUUGGUAAGCAGAACUGGCGAUGCGGGAUGAACCGUACACAGAGUUAAGGUGCCUAAGUUUUGAUACGCUAAUCAGAUCCCACUAAAGAUGUUGUUCGCUUAAGACAGUAGGGCGGUGGCCAUGGAAGUCGGCAUCCGCUAAGGAGUGUGUAACAACUCACCUACCGAAGCGUUCAACUCUGAAAAUGGAUGGCGCUCAAGCGUUACACUGAUACUCUGUCGUAGAGUAAAUCCGAAGAAUUAUUCUUUCCUCCAAAGAAAGAAUAAUAUUAGACUUCUACGAGUAGGAGAGAAUGUGGUGAUAGCGUUGAAGCUUUGAGUGUAAACUCGAGUGGAGCUUUCACUAGUACAGAUCUUGGUGGUAGUAGCAAACAAACAAGUGACAACCUUGUUGACCGACGUGGAUACGGGUUCCAUGGGAACAGUAAUUGGCCAUGGGUUAGUCGAUCCUGAAGAGUGACGUGAAAACGUUUUCGUAAGAAGCAAUCCUCGUCGAUUGCACUCUGAAAGGGAAUAAGAUUAAUAUUUCUUAACCUUGUUCGUGCUUAAUUUAGAAGCGGUAACGCAAUCGAACUCAGAGACAUCAGUCAAAGUCCUGGGUAGAGAUAUCUUCUCUACUUUAAGGUGUGCUAAGUGCCUUGAAUCAGUUUAGCUGGAGACAGGCAUGGAUGCACCGAAUAGCAUUGCGCUUCUCGUAAUGUACAAAUUCAUAGAACAGUGUACUUUGAUUGUUCCUUGAAAAUCUGGGGGAGUAUUUUUAAGGCACGGCAAGAUCGUACCUAGAUCCGCAACAGGUAUCUAGGUGAACAGCCUCUGGUCUAUUAGAAGAAUGUAGGUAAGGGAAGUCGGCAAACUUGAUCUGUAUCUUUGGUACAAGGUUGGCUCUGGCGUGUUGUCAGUUGUGCUUUAGUUAGUACAUUGGAGCAAGUUUAACUUGAACUGGUAGAUUGAGCAAUCGAUCGGCUGGCGCUUGUUUUUACAAGUAUAUAGAACACUUUUGUGUGCUGGCAAUUAAAACAAUUAGUCAGAACUAUCAUUGACUGUUCGGAAUCUGACUGUUUAAUUAAAACAUAGCAUUGAGAUGACCGGUGACCCGGUGUUGACUCAAUGUGAAUUCUGCCCAGUGCUCUGAAUGUCAACGUGUAGAAAUUCAAUGAAGCGCGGGUAAACGGCGGGAGUAACUAUGACUCUCUUAAGGUAGCCAAAUGCCUCGUCAUCUAAUUAGUGACGUGCAUGAAUGGAUUAACGAGAUUCCAUCUGUCCCUACUUACUAUCUAGCGAAACCACAGCCAAGGGAACGGGCUUGGCGAGAUCAGCGGGGAAAGAAGACCCUGUUGAGCUUGACUCUAGUCUGGCAUUGUGAGGAAACUGUAUCUGGUAUAGCAUAGGAGGGAGGCAUAGCUUGCUAUGUCGUUAUCAACUGUAA
rnacentral:rRNA from 1 species